rnacentral:rRNA from 1 species
GUGAGGAAUAUUGGUCAAUGGGCGGGAGCCUGAACCAGCCAAGUCGCGUGAAGGAAGAAGGAUCUAUGGUUCGUAAACUUCUUUUGCAGGGGAAUAAAGUGCAGGACGUGUCCUGUUUUGUAUGUACCCUGAGAAUAAGGAUCGGCUAACUCCGUGCCAGCAGCCGCGGUAAUACGGAGGAUCCGAGCGUUAUCCGGAUUUAUUGGGUUUAAAGGGUGCGUAGGUGGUUUGAUAAUUCAGCGGUGAAGGUUUGUAGCUUAACGGUAUAAAUGCCAUUGAAACUGUCUGACUUGAGUGUAAAUGAGGUAGGCGGAAUGCGUGGUGUAGCGGUGAAAUGCAUAGAUAUCACGCAGAACUCCGAUUGCGAAGGCAGCUUACUAAGCUACAACUGACACUGAAGCACGAAAGCGUGGGGAUCAAACAGGAUUAGAAACCCCGGUAGUCC